rnacentral:rRNA from 1 species
UACGAAGGGGGCUAGCGUUGCUCGGAAUCACUGGGCGUAAAGGGUGCGUAGGCGGGUUUUUAAGUCAGGGGUGAAAUCCUGGAGCUCAACUCCAGAACUGCCUUUGAUACUGGCGAUCUUGAGUCCGGGAGAGGUGAGUGGAACUGCGAGUGUAGAGGUGAAAUUCGUAGAUAUUCGCAAGAACACCAGUGGCGAAGGCGGCUCACUGGACCGGUACUGACGCUGAUGCGCGAAAGCGUGGGGAGCAAACGGG